AUUAAGUAAAACAUCAUAAGCAUGAGAUUUUUACACAAAAAGACCAAGUAAAUAGCCAGUAGGGUAAAGAUGGUCCAAUCGGAAGAAAUCAGUAACAAAUCACUAGCCUUAUUAAAGGGAUUUCAUAAUCAAUCACUUGGUUGGUGAAACCUUUGAAAGAGGAAUUCUCUCAUAUAUAAAGCAUACAGCUCAACAGAAGAAAAAGCCUAACAGUGAAAGUUUCAGAGUUACCAGCGAACAGGAUCUCAAGUACAAUCACAAACUCACAGUAAGUAUGGAAUGCUAGGGUCCCAAGAGUGGAAUCCUAACUUGAACACAAGCGUCAAAAUCACCAAAAUAACCCCUAAAUACUGGGGUUUCAGACAAUAGAGAUGAGAAUGCAAUCCACUCUCUAGGUCUUUUCCAAAGACUUAUGAGAAACAAACAGAUACGACAUACAGUUAAAGGCAUGGAGAACACGUUUUGAGAAAGACUCAGGACUUGAACAAAUCCAGAAGAAAAAGUGGCACAAACUCAGGCAAAAAAUAGAUGAAUUAGGCUUAGUAAGAACACAAACAUAGUCCAGUAAAGCAAACAACAUCAGUAAACACACAUAGUAAACGAGUUAGGAGAAAUAACACGGAUUAGUAUGUGAGUACAGGAAUGACAUAUAGAGUAGAAAAGAAAUUAGAAUAACCAUAUAUGCGUAGUAAAGGAAGUCAGACAAACACACAUAAAUAAAGAACACAAAGAACCAGAGAGAUGCCUUUGAAAACCUUUCAGAAACCCUAAAUCUAAAUUACACGAUUUUGAAAAAAGAGUUUUAUGAAAAACCUUUAGAAAGUUAAAUAGAACACAGACGUGUUCUAGAUCUAAGAAAAUAAGCAAGUAAAGAACCUCGGAUAGCUUAAGACUUCAGAGAAAACCCUAGAAAUGAGAAGGUCUUUGAGGAAAGUCGGAUCUUGAGUUGGAGAGACUAAUGUUGACUUGAACUCGUCGGAAAAUGGCCGGAGAAGCCAUAGACCUGAAGAUUUGAGAAGAUCUGAAAGAAAACCAUCAGAGUGGGGCUUCAAAUAAUUGAAUAACUUGGGUUUGAUGGUGAGAGAGGGCGAGCAUAAGUCGUCCAUGGCCUGGAACGCCAUGGAUCUCGGUGGAAAGAUGUCGAAACAUGUGCGAGAUGAUUAGGGUAUCGGACUGGGCUAGAGAGAGUUUGAGAGAUGAGGAGUUUAGAGGCGAC
rnacentral:lncRNA from 1 species